rnacentral:rRNA from 1 species
UUAAGCGACUAAGCGUACACGGUGGAUGCCCUGGCAGUCAGAGGCGAUGAAGGACGUGCUAAUCUGCGAAAAGCGUCGGUAAGGUGAUAUGAACCGUUACAGCCGGCGAUGUCCGAAUGGGGAAACCCAGUGCAAUUCGUUGCACUAUCGUUAACUGAAUACAUAGGUUAACGAGGCGAACCGGGGGAACUGAAACAUCUAAGUACCCCGAGGAAAAGAAAUCAACCGAGAUUCCCCCAGUAGCGGCGAGCGAACGGGGAGCAGCCCAGAGUCUGAAUCAGCUUGUGUGUUAGUGGAACGGUCUGGAAAGUCCGACGGUACAGGGUGAUAGUCCCGUACACCAAAAUGCACAGGCUGUGAACUCGAAGAGUAGGGCGGGACACGUGGUAUCCUGUCUGAAUAUGGGGGGACCAUCCUCCAAGGCUAAAUACUCCUGACUGACCGAUAGUGAACCAGUACCGUGAGGGAAAGGCGAAAAGAACCCCGGCGAGGGGAGUGAAAAAGAACCUGAAACCGUGUACGUACAAGCAGUGGGAGCACCUUCGGGUGUGACUGCGUACCUUUUGUAUAAUGGGUCAGCGACUUAUAUUCUGUAGCAAGGUUAACCGUAUAGGGGAGCCGCAGGGAAACCGAGUCUUAACUGGGCGUUAAGUUGCAGGGUAUAGACCCGAAACCCGGUGAUCUAGCCAUGGGCAGGUUGAAGGUUGGGUAACACUAACUGGAGGACCGAACCGACUAAUGUUGAAAAAUUAGCGGAUGACUUGUGGCUGGGGGUGAAAGGCCAAUCAAACCGGGAGAUAGCUGGUUCUCCCCGAAAGCUAUUUAGGUAGCGCCUCGUGAACUCAUCUUCGGGGGUAGAGCACUGUUUCGGCUAGGGGGUCAUCCCGACUUACCAACCCGAUGCAAACUACGAAUACCGAAGAAUGUUAUCACGGGAGACACACGGCGGGUGCUAACGUCCGUCGUGAAGAGGGAAACAACCCAGACCGCCAGCUAAGGUCCCAAAGUCAUGGUUAAGUGGGAAACGAUGUGGGAAGGCACAGACAGCCAGGAUGUUGGCUUAGAAGCAGCCAUCAUUUAAAGAAAGCGUAAUAGCUCACUGGUCGAGUCGGCCUGCGCGGAAGAUGUAACGGGGCUAAACCAUGCACCGAAGCUGCGGCAGCGACACUAUGUGUUGUUGGGUAGGGGAGCGUUCUGUAAGCCUGCGAAGGUGACCUGUGAGGGUUGCUGGAGGUAUCAGAAGUGCGAAUGCUGACAUAAGUAACGAUAAAGCGGGUGAAAAGCCCGCUCGCCGGAAGACCAAGGGUUCCUGUCCAACGUUAAUCGGGGCAGGGUGAGUCGACCCCUAAGGCGAGGCCGAAAGGCGUAGUCGAUGGGAAACAGGUUAAUAUUCCUGUACUUGGUGUUACUGCGAAGGGGGGACGGAGAAGGCUAUGUUAGCCGGGCGACGGUUGUCCCGGUUUAAGCAUGUAGGCUGAUUGUCCAGGCAAAUCCGGAUAAUCAAGGCUGAGGUGUGAUGACGAGGCACUACGGUGCUGAAGUAACAAAUGCCCUGCUUCCAGGAAAAGCCUCUAAGCAUCAGGUAACAUCAAAUCGUACCCCAAACCGACACAGGUGGUCAGGUAGAGAAUACCAAGGCGCUUGAGAGAACUCGGGUGAAGGAACUAGGCAAAAUGGUGCCGUAACUUCGGGAGAAGGCACGCUGGUGUGUAGGUGAAGUCCCUGCGGAUGGAGCUGAGACCAGUCGAAGAUACCAGCUGGCUGCAACUGUUUAUUAAAAACACAGCACUGUGCAAACACGAAAGUGGACGUAUACGGUGUGACGCCUGCCCGGUGCCGGAAGGUUAAUUGAUGGGGUUAUCCGUAAGGAGAAGCUCUUGAUCGAAGCCCCGGUAAACGGCGGCCGUAACUAUAACGGUCCUAAGGUAGCGAAAUUCCUUGUCGGGUAAGUUCCGACCUGCACGAAUGGCGUAAUGAUGGCCAGGCUGUCUCCACCCGAGACUCAGUGAAAUUGAACUCGCUGUGAAGAUGCAGUGUACCCGCGGCAAGACGGAAAGACCCCGUGAACCUUUACUAUAGCUUGACACUGAACAUUGAGCCUUGAUGUGUAGGAUAGGUGGGAGGCUUUGAAGCGUGGACGCCAGUCUGCGUGGAGCCAACCUUGAAAUACCACCCUUUAAUGUUUGAUGUUCUAACGUUGGCCCCUGACCGGGGUUGCGGACAGUGUCUGGUGGGUAGUUUGACUGGGGCGGUCUCCUCCCAAAGCGUAACGGAGGAGCACGAAGGUUAGCUAAUCCUGGUCGGACAUCAGGAGGUUAGUGCAAUGGCAUAAGCUAGCUUGACUGCGAGCGUGACGGCGCGAGCAGGUGCGAAAGCAGGUCAUAGUGAUCCGGUGGUUCUGAAUGGAAGGGCCAUCGCUCAACGGAUAAAAGGUACUCCGGGGAUAACAGGCUGAUACCGCCCAAGAGUUCAUAUCGACGGCGGUGUUUGGCACCUCGAUGUCGGCUCAUCACAUCCUGGGGCUGAAGUAGGUCCCAAGGGUAUGGCUGUUCGCCAUUUAAAGUGGUACGCGAGCUGGGUUUAGAACGUCGUGAGACAGUUCGGUCCCUAUCUGCCGUGGGCGCUGGAGAAUUGAGGGGGGCUGCUCCUAGUACGAGAGGACCGGAGUGGACGCAUCACUGGUGUUCGGGUUGUCAUGCCAAUGGCACUGCCCGGUAGCUAAAUGCGGAAGAGAUAAGUGCUGAAAGCAUCUAAGCACGAAACUUGCCCCGAGAUGAGUUCUCCCUGAGACUUUAAGUCUCCUGAAGGAACGUUGAAGACGACGACGUUGAUAGGCCGGGUGUGUAAGCGCAGCGAUGCGUUGAGCUAACCGGUACUAAUGAACCGUGAGGCUUAACCUU